GUGGAUUAGAUACCCUGGUUGUCCACGCCGUAAACGGUGGGCGCUAGGUGUGGGUUCCUUCCACGGGAUCUGUGCCGUAGCUAACGCAUUAAGCGCCCCGCCUGGGGAGUACGGCCGCAAGGCUAAAACUCAAAGGAAUUGACGGGGGCCCGCACAAGCGGCGGAGCAUGUGGAUUAAUUCGAUGCAACGCGAAGAACCUUACCUGGGUUUGACAUACACCGGAAAACCGUAGAGAUACGGUCCCCCUUGUGGUCGGUGUACAGGUGGUGCAUGGCUGUCGACAACU
rnacentral:rRNA from 1 species